rnacentral:tRNA from 1 species
GCCCACGUGAUGAAAUUGGUAGACAUGCAAUCUUGAGGGGUUGUGGACUAUGUCCGUGCCGGUUCGAAUCCGGCCGUGGGCA